GUCUAAUUGUAAGUUGAUUUCGUCCUAUUAUAUUAUUCAAAUUAAUAAUUUAUCAAAUUUAAAUGGAAGUCGAAACUAUUCCCAUUCGGCUAGCGAAUUAAAUUCCAAUCGAUAAAUCUUAAAACGUUAAAACUCUUGGCCGACAUUUUCUCUCGACUAUUAAAUAAGCGCCCGUUUUUCAUUUUUACAAUUAAGUAUUAAGAGCGCAAUAUUUUACAGAAAUAUUAUAUCGGGUCAUUUUUAGUCGAAUAAAAAUAGAACUAAUUGGAAAGAUCAUUUCUUGGGUCUGUUUCGAAUCGAGAGAGGAAGAAUAGUGUGCGAGAAAGAGAGAAACUUUAACCUAUUCAAUAUAGAAGUGGCCAUAAUAUUUUAAAGAGCCAUUCAUACUUUUUAUACGCUCAUUUAAAAACUUUUAUUAUAUUUUAAAAUUCAUUCCGGAAAUUUUCUGAUACGAUGAUUUUAAUUUCGUUAUAAGUUGUUAAAUAUAUAAAUAUUUGGAGGAAAUAAUUUAAAAUAUUUUCUUUUUUUACAUUUAAUUAUACGAUACUCGAGUAUGGCUGCAGUUUUAAAAUUCCACUGGUGGUAAGAGUAACGAUUUUUAGCCUAUUUACUUGUGUAACUGUAUUAAUGGCUGGAUACGCGAAUUACUGUUGGAGUAGCGAAUGUAUAUAGUAGAAUCAUUUUAAAGAAAAGUUUAAUUUCUACUAGUAAAUUAUUUCAAAAGAAUAAAAAUUUAUUCUUAGAAAGUAUGUUUUCUUAAAAGUUUCGAGUCCGAGUUCAGCCAUAAAUAGGGCCGAAAUAAAAAAAGGACGGUGAUAAUUGACUAGCAUUUUAUAUCCUAGUUCCGUGAUAUAUCCGGUCUGGUUUGGAAUGGUAAAACGGAUUUUUAUAAAUUAUGCGGUCGACUUAAAUAUUACUGUCAUUUUUUUACCCUUGUGUAUAUUUGGGAAUUUUUAUAUGGUCAAAUACGUAAUAUAUCCAAUGGGUUUAUAAUAUCGAAACAACGAUAAAUAUUAGGCUCUACCUGGUCGGUCGGAAAUCGCUACAAUUUUAUUACGACUAUAGCCGAUAACCAAUACGUUUUAAUAACCAGAAGGGAAAAGAUGGAGUGAAAGCCAGCAAAUUUUUAUUAUAAUCACCGGAGAGAAUAAUUAUUACUUAAAAAAUAAUCUUUCUCAAAAAAAAAAUAAACAUUCUUCGAUUCAACUUAGAAUACACACGGUAGGAUUUUUAUCAAUUGGUAGUAGAUCCAAAAUAGUUCCGAUUUGAUAAUGGCAUUAGAAAUUCGAUUAAUUACAGUCAAAUGCGGCGAAAGACUAAAAAUACCUAACUCUAUAAUAUUGGAAGUCGUCCACCAUCAAUCUUGCACUUUAACAUUCCUCGACAACUUUCCGACUAAUUUACAUGCGGAAUAGGCCGCCUGGCUGCAUUUUAAUUUUCGCACCAGUUCCUCGGAUCUGACCGAUUUAGUCGGUUCCGAUAAAUAGAAAAUUUUCUACGCUUAUCUAUUAUAAAAGUCUAUAUUACCAUUCGGGAAAGAGACGAAUCGGAUGUCGAAUUUUGGCCUUUAUUGCUAUCACUAUUAAUAAUCUGCAUUAAAUAAAAUUAAUCGGCAUUCGAUUAAAACCAAAUUAUAAAUAAACUAACAUUGUCCGAGAACAAAUAGGUGCGGCUAUAAUGGUUCGUCUACCGAUUGAAAUACUCGCCAGUCGGGAACAAUAAAGCCAAUCAUUAAAUAUUGGUAAAUAGAUGUAGAAGAGCAAAACCCAGGUGCAGCGGAGAAAGGUGUGAUCGAUUAAUACAUGCGCACUACCUCUAUAAAUUAUCCUUGGCCUGUGGUGAAAUGAAAUGCACCCAGCUUGUUUACGAACUCGUUAGUGGCCGAAAACAAUUUUCUGCCGAUGUUGUUAAGUUUUCAUACACACCGGUUCCAAAUGCAAAAUAUGUAAUUAAAAUUUGUUUAUCCAAAAUUGCAUAUUUUCCAUUUCCAUUUAUCUUGGAAAAAUUUUCGUUUCGGAGCAAAAAUAACACAGAUCGGAGGAAAAAAUAAAGUUGCGACGUUAGGGAGAAUCCGAGUUGAAGACGUGGUUAGGACGUCACUAAGGACUAGCUAGCUCUCAUCCAUCCAAUGUAUUACCAAUUCCUCCGCUGGAUUUAUUAAGCGAUUAUAAAAAUUUAUGAUUAAUGCAUUUGAAAAACUCUAAUUUUACCUAAUAUCCGAGAAAGUAAGCGCAAAAUUAUAAAAAUGUUGUCUCGAAUUUUCCGAAAAUUAAGUUAUAACAAAAGUAUAAUUUUAAAUACACAAUUAUUAAAUGUAGUUGGCCAAUUUCUGGUAUAGCUGGUCUAUUUAUGUAGCCUUUACAAAAAUAUCGAAAUAUUCUAUUAGUUUAUUGCUAAAGCCAAUAAUAUACAAUUUAAUAUUUAAAGACUUAUUUUU
rnacentral:lncRNA from 1 species